AUUGAACGCUGGCGGCAGGCCUAACACAUGCAAGUCGAGCGGAUGAAGGGAGCUUGCUCCUGGAUUCAGCGGCGGACGGGUGAGUAAUGCCUAGGAAUCUGCCUGGUAGUGGGGGAUAACGUCCGGAAACGGGCGCUAAUACCGCAUACGUCCUGAGGGAGAAAGUGGGGGAUCUUCGGACCUCACGCUAUCAGAUGAGCCUAGGUCGGAUUAGCUAGUUGGUGGGGUAAAGGCCUACCAAGGCGACGAUCCGUAACUGGUCUGAGAGGAUGAUCAGUCACACUGGAACUGAGACACGUUCCAGACUCCUACGGGAGGCAGCAGUGGGGAAUAUUGGACAAUGGGCGAAAGCCUGAUCCAGCCAUGCCGCGUGUGUGAAGAAGGUCUUCGGAUUGUAAAGCACUUGAAGUUGGGAGGAAGGGCAGUAAGUGAAUACCUUGCUGUUUUGACGUUACCAACAGAAUAGGCACGGGCUAACUUCGUG
rnacentral:rRNA from 1 species